AUUGAACGCUGGCGGCACGCCUAAUACAUGCAAGUCGAACGAUCACUUCGGUGGUAGUGGCGCACGGGUGCGUAACGCGUGGGAAUCUGCCCUUGGGUUCGGAAUAACAUCUGGAAACGGAUGCUAAUACCGGAUGAUGACGUAAGUCCAAAGAUUUAUCGCCCAGGGAUGAGCCCGCGCAGGAUUAGCUAGUUGGUGGGGUAAAGGCCUACCAAGGCGACGAUCCUUAGCUGGUCUGAGAGGAUGAUCAGCCACACUGGGACUGAGACACGGCCCAGACUCCUACGGGAGGCAGCAGUAGGGAAUAUUGGACAAUGGGGGCAACCCUGAUCCAGCAAUGCCGCGUGAGUGAUGAAGGCCUUAGGGUUGUAAAGCUCUUUUACCCGGGAUGAUAAUGACAGUACCGGGAGAAUAAGCCCCGGCUAACUCCGUGCCAGCCGCCGCAGUAA
rnacentral:rRNA from 1 species